rnacentral:rRNA from 1 species
GCCUACGGGGGGCAGCAGUAGGGAAUCUUCCACAAUGGACGAAAGUCUGAUGGAGCAACGCCGCGUGAGUGAAGAAGGGUUUCGGCUCGUAAAGCUCUGUUGGUAGUGAAGAAAGAUAGAGGUAGUAACUGGCCUUUAUUUGACGGUAAUUACUUAGAAAGUCACGGCUAACUACGUGCCAGCAGCCGCGGUAAUAAGUAGGUGGCAAGCGGUGUCCGGGUUUUUUGGGCGUAAAGCGAGUGCAGGCGGGU